UAAUACAUCGGAACGUGUCCAAUAAUGGGGGAUAACUAAUCGAAAGGUUGGCUAAUACCGCAUACGCCCUACGGGGGAAAGCAGGGGAUCUUCGGACCUUGCGUUAAUGGAGCGGCUGAUAUCUGAUUAGCUAGUUGGUGAGGUAAAGGCUCACCAAGGCGACGAUCAGUAGCUGGUCUGAGAGGACGACCAGCCACACUGGAACUGAGACACGGUCCAGACUCCUACGGGAGGCAGCAGUGGGGAAUUUUGGACAAUGGGCGCGAGCCUGAUCCAGCCAUUCCGCGUGAGUGAAGAAGGCCUUCGGGUUGUAAAGCUCUUUCGCAAGGGAAGAAAACUUACUUUCUAAUAAAGAGUGAGGUUGACGGUACCUUGAUAAGAAGCACCGGCUAACUACGUGCCAGCAGCCGCGGUAAUACGUAGGGUGCGAGCGUUAAUCGGAAUUACUGGGCGUAAAGCGUGCGCAGGCGGUUUUGUAAGUCAGAUGUGAAAUCCCCGAGCUCAACUUGGGAACUGCGUUUGAAACUACAAGACUAGAAUAUGUCAGAGGGGGGUAGAAUUCCACGUGUAGCAGUGAAGUGCGUAGAGAUGUGGAGGAAUACCAAUGGCGAAGGCAGCCCCCUGGGAUAAUAUUGACGCUCAUGCACGAAAGCGUGGGGAGCAAACAGGAUUAGAUACCCUGGUAGUCCACGCCGUAAACGGUGGGCGCUAGUUGUGGGGACCUUCCACGGUCUCUGCGACGCAGCUAACGCAUUAAGCGCCCCGCCUGGGGAGUACGAUCGCAAGAUUAAAACUCAAAGGAAUUGACGGGGCCCCGCACAAGCAGCGGAGCAUGCGGCUUAAUUCGACGCAACGCGAANAACCUUACCNAGGCUUGACAUAUAGGNAA
rnacentral:rRNA from 1 species